rnacentral:rRNA from 1 species
UAUUUUAGUCUUGUUAGAGGAACCUGUUUUAUAAUCGAUAAACCACGUAUAUUUCACUUAUUUUAAAUAACUUGUAUACCGUCAUUAUUAGAUAACUUUUAAAAAAUUAGUUAUUAAAAUUAAAUUAAAUUAAAUAUAUUAGAUCAAGGUGCAGUUAAUAAAUAAGAAAAAAUGGGUUACAAUAAAAUUUAUUUAAAACGAAUUAUAUAAAUGUAAAAAUAUAUGAAGGAGGAUUUAAUUGUAAUUUUUUUUUAUAAAAUAAUAAUAUGAUAAUAGCUCUAAAAUAU